UACCAAUAUAUUUGCAAACGCUAUCCAACACUUGACAAAUAAAAGCUGAAAGCUUUAGUUUCCGGACUUGGUACCACAAUCCCAAAGAUUGUCUUAAAUGGAUUGUAUAUGUACCUAAGUAGUCUCAUCCUCACAAUCUUCCUAAUGAUAAUGUAUCAUUGGAAGAACAUGUUAGAAAAGUCUAUCAUGAAGAGGACAACACAAACAACCAAUGCUUAAUCCUUUGUUAAAUGAACAAAGGAACUUACGAAGAUUAGCAUAAAGAAAAGGACACUUUUAGUGUUAUUAGUUCUUCACUUAUAAAUCGUUGUAUGAAGAAAUAAUGAGUUGUUUUGAACAACCCUUAGUCAAUGCAAACACUUAGUGCUUGUUUCUUUGUUACAUGAACAAAGAACUUAAGAAGAAAGCACAAAGGCAUGGACACUUUAUGUGCCAUGAUUCUUCACUUACAAAUUGUUGUACGAAGAAAUGAGAGUUGCCUUGUACAACUCUUGAAGGUUUGUAAUUAUGUUUAGAACAUAAUGGUUGGUUGACAAAAAUAGUCCAUUAACAUGGACUUAUGAUGAUUUUGAAUCAUUAAGUGUUGAAGUGAUAAACCACUUAACGAGACGGAAACUAGGCAAGGACUUCACCUUUGUGUCCCUA
rnacentral:lncRNA from 1 species